rnacentral:rRNA from 1 species
UACGUAGGGGGCAAGCGUUGUCCGGAUUUAUUGGGCGUAAAGCGCGUGUAGGCGGCCCAGCCAGUCAGCUGUGAAAACUCGAGGCUCAACCUCGAGACGUCGGUUGAAACCGCUUGGCUAGAGUCCGGAAGAGGAGAGUGGAAUUCCCGGUGUAGCGGUGAAAUGCGCAGAUAUCGGGAAGAACACCCGUGGCGAAGGCGGCUCGCUGGGACGGUACUGACGCUGAGGCGCGAAAGCUGGGGGAGCGAACGGG